AAACCUGUUUCUGCUUAUUUACACCAAGCAGCGUCGCUGGACGGUCAGAGGCUCAGGCUAACUCACCAGUCCAUGUUUAAAACGCACUUUAGUCUUGAAGAGAAGCAGACGCGAUGUUCUCAAACUGCACACCGCAGAACACCAGCAACGCCGAAAACCUAACCGACGUGUACGAGGCGGCGCGGUGGAUACAGCUCUCCAUGGCCGUCCUGAGCAUUGUCGGCUCAGGAUCCAUCUUGGUGUUUUCAGCUUCACAGAAACUCUUUCAAUCGCAGGAGGU